rnacentral:lncRNA from 1 species
GUUAGGAAGACAAGGAAGAUAAACGGUAAAAUAAAAUAAUAAACUUUUAAAAUCUUACAAUGUUAAUUUAAUAAUGUUUUCCUUACUAAGCAUAUGGAACUCACUCUUUUCAUAUCCCCCUCCUAGAUGAGGAAGAAAAUUAGGAACCGCAAGCAAACCUACCCCUGGAAGUCUAUGAGGAUCUUGUGGAUCCAUGAGUCUAGGUACAUGACUUUUUCCGCACUCUGAUGAAUUUCAGUAACAUAGUGAAAGAAAUUGCCCUUAUGUUUUAUAUUUUGUAACCACUUCUGCCCUCAGUGAUGUAUGUAUUUGGAACACAUUAUAUAUAUAUAUAUAUUUGCAAAAGAUUUGUUAAGGUUUGAUUUUGCUACAUAAAUAUUAUCAUGCACUUGUUAUUUUGAAUCUGUAUCUGAC